rnacentral:tRNA from 1 species
GACCCCGUAGCUCAGCUGGAUAGAGCAGCCGCCUUCUAAGCGGCAGGUCGCAGGUUCGAACCCUGCCGGGGUCGCCA